GAUGAACGCUGGCGGCGUGCUUAACACAUGCAAGUCGAACGAAGCUCCUAUCAUGAUUUCUUCGGAUUGACUUUUAGGAUGACUUAGUGGCGGACGGGUGAGUAACGCGUGAGGAACCUGCCUCGCAGUGGGGAAUAACAGUUGGAAACGACUGCUAAUACCGCAUAACGCAAAGAGAUCGCAUGUUUUCUUUGCCAAAGAUUUAUCGCUGUGAGAUGGCCUCGCGUCUGAUUAGCUAGUUGGUGGGGUAACGGCCUACCAAGGCGACGAUCAGUAGCCGGACUGAGAGGUUGAUCGGCCACAUUGGGACUGAGACACGGCCCAGACUCC
rnacentral:rRNA from 1 species